UACGGAGGGUGCAAGCGUUAUCCGGAUUUACUGGGUUUAAAGGGUGCGUAGGUGGGCUAGUAAGUCAGUGGUGAAAUCUCCGGGCUUAACCCGGAAACUGCCAUUGAUACUAUUAGUCUUGAAUGUCGUGGAGGUAAGCGGAAUAUGUCAUGUAGCGGUGAAAUGCUUAGAUAUGACAUAGAACACCCAUUGCGAAGGCAGCUAACUACGCGAUCAUUGACGCUGAUGCACGAAAGCGUGGGGAUCAAACAGG
rnacentral:rRNA from 1 species